GCAGAGGCUUGUAUCACUGGGGAGGCUUGGGUUGUCCACCCAGCCUGGCGCAGCGGGUGAAGGAUUNAGAAAAAGAAAGGAAGAAAGAAAGAGAAACCGAGAAAGAAAGGAAAGAAUGAAUUGAGUUCAUCACGGGUGAAGGAUCCAGUGUUGCCACCGCUGUGGCCUAGGUCACAGCUGCUGCUCAGAUUCGGUCCCUGGCCUAGUAACUGCCAUGUGCUUUGGGUGUAGCCAAAAAGAAAACAGAAGAAAGAAACCUCUAGUUCUUUGCAGGACAUCUAAAGGGAUUCACAGCUAGGACCCUUGUCACCACCACCACCCCCGCCCCCUCCCAUGACUUGAUAAAGACUCAGAUCUUUAGAAAUGCCUACGACUGUUAGGGGGAUCGGAGAAAAGAAGAAUUGGCUUAUUUUCCUUGCAGGGAGCAACAACUUUGUCCUCAGCUUUCAGAGGCGACCUCGCUGCUGUGUGACUGCUGCCCGCCCUGCUCACAUCCAUAACCACGGCUUCGUGGGAUCCGGCCUGCUGUCCUUUCCCUUCCUAGCUGCCAGCAAGGACUCUGGUUUCUUACAAUUCCCUGUCUUCAGAUCAGGCCCCGUCUCCCACUUCCUGGUCAUCCCCCCAAACACAAGAGCUGAUCGGCUUAAAGACUUCAGUGCAGUUACCCUAAGGAAAGAAGAACGCGCCUCUGAUUCUGGUGUGAAUUAAGCAGCAGGAAAAAACAGCUCUGGGUGUCAAGGUACCACCAGCCCUGGGAUCCGUGCUUUGGGAGCUUUCCUUUGUAGCGUGGUGGAUAUUGAUCCGAUGUUUUGCAGAAAAGCUCCUUCCUGUCCUUCUGAUUUAGAUUAAAAGGCAUCGUCCCAGCAGUGCCUCCCAGGCCCCAUGUCACCUAGUCGGAUUCAUUUCCGCUGCGCCAGGAUGGGAACUCCCCCGUUUACAUUUAGUGCCAACAGAAAGAUUUGGGAAAAUGUUUCAGCGGCGUCAGGCAUGGUUCCCGAAUACCCAGAGUCCUCACCUUCCUUUAUUCUGGAUCGCGGCAGAUUAUAAAUUAAGCGAUCUUUGCGCACACGUUCUCCCCUCAAGGGUUUGUAACAUCCUCCUGUCUCUCAAGACCAGCUACAAGUCCUCUUCUCCGCUGAGUAAGAACAGAACCUGCCUGCCCUCGUUAAAAGGGUAAUCUCAUUCGCAGCUUUGCUUUCUCUACAGCUCUUCUUAUUAUCAUAAUGUUUUCACUUGUGGUCAAGUACACCUAAUGUAAAAUCGACCACUGAAACCAGU
rnacentral:lncRNA from 1 species